rnacentral:rRNA from 1 species
CUACGGGGGGCAGCAGUGAGGAAUAUUGCACAAUGGGGGGAACCCUGAUGCAGCAACGCCGCGUGGAGGAUGACGCAUUUCGGUGUGUAAACUCCUUUUAUAUGUCAAGAAAAUGACGGUAGCAUAUGAAUAAGCACCGGCCAACUCCGUGCCAGCAGCCGCGGUAAUACGGAGGGUGCAAGCGUUACUCGGAAUCACUGGGCGUAAAGGACGCGUAGGCGGGUUGGAAAGUCAGGUGUGAAAUCCUACAGCUUAACUGUAGAACUGCACUUGAAACUUCGAAUCUAGAGUAUGGGAGGGGGGGAUGGAAUUAGUGGUGUAGGGGUAAAAUCCGUAGAUAUCACUAGGAAUACCUAAAGCGAAGGCGAUCUCCUGGAACAUUACUGACGCUAAGGCGUGAAAGCGUGGGGAGCAAACAGGAUUAGAUACCCCUGUAGUC